GGCUCGGUAGCUUAGUUGGUAAAGCGCUCGUCUAGCAUACAAGAAUCCUGGGGUCAAAUCCCAGCCGAGCAC
rnacentral:tRNA from 1 species